UACGUAGGGGGCAAGCGUUGUCCGGAAUCAUUGGGCGUAAAGAGCGUGUAGGCGGCCCGAUAAGUCCGCUGUGAAAGUCCCAGGGCUCAACCCUGGAAUGCCGGGUGGAUACUGUCGGGCUCGAAUCCGGAAGAGGUGAGUGGAAUUCCUGGUGUAGCGGUGAAAUGACGCAGAUAUCAGGAGGAACACCAAUGGCGAAGGCAGCUCACUUGGGA
rnacentral:rRNA from 1 species